rnacentral:rRNA from 3 species
AGGACAAAACCAAUCGGGCUUGCCCGCUAUUUGGUGAAUCUGAAUAACUAUGCCGAUCGCACAGUCCUCGAACUGGCGACGUAUCUUUCAAAUGUCUGCCUUAUCAACUUUCGAUGGUAGUUUACACGGCUACCAUGGUUUUAACGGGUAACGGAGAAUUAGGGUUCGACUCCGGAGAGGGAGCCUGAGAAACGGCUACCACAUCCAAGGAAG